rnacentral:ncRNA from 1 species
GCGGUGACGCAAAAUCUGAAGGAAGCUCGGCAAAUCUCCGGCCCAACGAACAGGAACCCCAUGGGAGGCUAGAGGUAAUUGGAUGAGCUUGCAUAACAAAGCGAAGUCUCUACUGCCUAAGGCUACUAUUAGUAGAUGAAACGGAUAGAUGGAGGAAAAGGGA